UUGGAUAAAAUGCAACAUCCCUUCAUGAUAAAAAAAACCCUCAACUAACUAGACAUUAAAGGAACCUACCUCAAAAGAAUAAGAACCAUCUAUGACAAAACCACAGCCAACAUCAUAUUGAAGCAAAAGCUGGGCAAAAACUGGAAGCAUUUCCCUUAAGAAGGGGAAUGAGACAAGGAUGCCUACUCUCUUCACUCCUAUUCAACGUGGUACUGGAAAUUCUAGCCAGAGCGAUCAGGCAAAAGAAAGACAUAAAAUGCAUCCAAAUAGGAAAAGAAGAAGUCAAAUUAUCUCCCUACAAAAAAGUAAAAUAAAACACCUAGGAAUACAUCUAACUAGAGAAGUGAAAGAUCUCUACAAGAAGAACCACAAAACACUGCUGAAAGAAAUAAUAGAUGACACAAACAAAGGAAGAACCAAUAUCAUUAAAACGGCCAUACUGCCCAAAGCAAUCUAUAAAUUCCACACCAUUUCUAUCAAACUGCAGCUGUCAUCUGUUAUGGAAGUAGAAAAAAGUAUUCUAAAAUUCAUUUGGAACCAAAAAAAAAAAAAAAGAAAGAAAAAAGCCCAAAUAGCAAAAGCAAUUCUAAGCAAAAAGAACAAGCCAGAAACAUCACAUUACCUGACUUCAAGCUAUACCCUAAGGCUACAGUAACCAAAACAGUGUGGUACUGGUACAAAAACAGACAGAACAAUGAAACAGAAUAUAGAAUCCAGAACCAAAGCUGCCUACCUACAGCCAUCUGAUCUUUGACAACAUUACCAAAAAUAAGCAAUGGAGAAAGGACUCUCUUAUUCAAUAAAUGGUGCUGGGAUAAUGAGUAUCCAUAAGCAGAAGAAUGAAACUGGAUCCAUACCAAUCACUAUAUACAAAAAUUAGCUCAAGAUACAUUAAAGAUUUAAACGUAAGACUUCAAGCUAUAAGAAUUCUAGAAAAAAUCCUAGGAAAUACUAGGAUUCCUAAAUACUAGAGUAAAUCUGCAAAAGCAAUUGCAACGAAAACAAAAAUUGACAAGUGGGACCUAAUUAAACUAAAGAGCUUCUGCACAACAAAAUAAAUUCAAUGGAGUAAGAAGCAACCUACAGAAUGGGAGAAAAUAUUCACAAACUACACACCUGACAAAGGUCUAAUAUCCAGAAUCCAUAAGAAACUUAAACAAUUCAAUAAGCAAAGCCAAAUAACAUCAUUAAAAUUUGGGCAAAAGACAUGAACAGACACUUAAAAAAACAUACAAGUGGCCCCAAAACAUACAAAAAUAUUCUCAGUAUCACUAAUCAUCAGAGAAAUGUGAAUCAAAACCACAAUGAAGCCAGGCACAAUGGCUGACACCUGUAAUGCCAGCACUUUGGGAGGCCAAGGCAGACAGAUCACUGGACCCCAGUUUGAGACGAGCUCCACCUCUAUAAAAAAUUACAAAAACUCCACCUUUACAAAAAAAUACACACAAAAAAUUUAGCCAGGCAUGGUGGCAUCUGCCUGUAGUCCCAGCUACUCAGAGGGCUGAGGUUGGAGGAUCACUUGAGCCCAGGAGGUCAAGGCUGCAGUGAGCCAUGAUCACACCACUGCACAUCAGCCUAGGUGACAGAGCAAGAUCAUGUCUCAAAAACAAACAAACAAACAAACAAAAAACCCAUCAGUUACUGGUGAAGCUGCUGAGACAAGGGAAGACUUAUACACUGUUGGUGGGAAUGUGAAUUAGUUCAGCCACUGAGGAAAGCAGUUUGGAGAUUUUGUGAAGAGCUGAGAACCACUAUUCAACCCAUCAAUCGCGUUACUAGGUAUAUACCCAAAGGAAAAUAAAUCAUUCUACCAAAAAGACACAGGCACUCAUGUGUUCAUAGCAGCACCGUUCACAAUAGCAAAGAUGUGGAAUCAAUCUAAUUGCCCAUCAAUGGUGGAUUGGAUAAAGAAAAUGUAAGACAUAGAAUACUAUGCAGUCAUAGAAAAGAAUGAAAUCAUGUCAUUUGCAGCACCAUAGAGGCAGCUGAAGGCCAUUAUCUUAAGCAAAUUAACACAGAAACAGAAAACCCAAUACUGCAUGUUCUCACUUAUACAUGAGAGCUAAACACUGGGUACUCAUGGACAUAAAGAUGGGAACAAAAGACACUGGGAACUCUAGAGUGGAGAGCAAGGGAGGGAGGAAAGGCUAAACAAAAACUAAUUUGGUACUAUGAUCACUACCUGGGUAAUGGGAUCAUUUGUACCCCAAACCUCAACAUUAUGCAAUAUACCCAUGUAACAAUUCUGCACAUGUACCCCUGAAUCUAAAAUACAAGUUGAAAUUAUUU
rnacentral:lncRNA from 1 species